ACAGAGUCUUGGGGUGAAGCAUUCAGAGAGGAGUUUGAUUGGAGCAAACACAGGAUGGUGUCAUUUCUUAUUGGCUAAGCACGGACCCACCCACCUGUUUAGCCAUUGACCAAUGAACAGCCAGGUUUUUCCAGGAAGUGGCUUUUAAUUACCCAGGAAGUUAAACUCUGUCAUGGCGUCUUUGCCACGCCCCAAACAAUUUGAGUUAAAAUGCUUGUCUGUUCAUUCACACAGAUGUUAACAGUGAGCGAAGUGUGUUUUCCAGUGACUCGUGGCUUUUUUUAAAAUAAAUAAAAUAAUUCCUGCAUUCAAAGGGAGUAUUGCAAAUGGAAGCCACCACAUGUUCAUCAAAUGUGUGAUGAGGAGGCUGGUGACUGAUGAAGCCCCUUGAAGAAGCAAGUAGGUGUCAACAGGGGACUGUUCUGAACCUUCCACCAUGUCACGCUCGCUACCUUCAAGCAGCAAUGAAGCCUGGUGCUGUGACCGGACCACGUCUACUGGAUCCAUCCCGGCCAUUUAAAGGGAAAAGUCUUAAAGGAGUCUUCAGCUGUGGCAGUGGAGCGUCGGGCAGCGGGUUAAGGAACGAUGACUCGGCCGACGGCGAGGACGAAGAGAAGCACAGGGCUGAUCUCUCCACAGUAUCUGCUGAGAUUAGGAUUCAGAGCGGCGCACCAGACAUCGUCCAUUAUUGCAUCCUGCACAGGACUGUUUAUGAUGAUCAGCCUGUCAGGGGAGCCUUAUGGAAAGUGCCAGUGUAAAUACCUGUCCUUUCCCCCCGCAACAAGGAAACUAAGGUGAACGCCUUUGAUCACAGUGACAUAAGUGAAUGAAAUGAGGAGGAAAUGGAGAGAUGGCAAUUGGGACAAAUCGCUUGUAAAAUUGAACAUGACAAGCCUCUGAUUGUAAUCUCCAUGUGGACUUUGGGGGGAAGGAGUGUCUACGAUGACAGGGGAUAUGAAUGAAUAUGAAACUCAUCUGAAAGAGGAGCGGGAGAGAGAAACCAGCAUCAAGGCGAAUGUUUCACAGUGUAAUGUGCAUAUAAAGCGGAGCCUGAACCUUUUGGAAAUGUCUUAAUUUCUACAUGGAUAUCAUCAGAUGUUUGUAGAGAAAACCCAGUAAGAGAUGCUGGGAUUCCACUACCCAGCAGUUACUGUACCGUAUUGUAUUUUGAAUGUUCCGAAGUAAACUGAUGAGGAUAUUUUUCUCCUGAAGUUAAAUAUAAAGUAAAAUAAAAUCAUUAGCAUUUGUCCUGUAAGAGUCCA
rnacentral:lncRNA from 1 species